rnacentral:rRNA from 1 species
AUUGAACGCUGGCGGCAGGCCUAACACAUGCAAGUCGAACGAGUGGCGGACGGGUGAGUAAUGCCUGGGAAACUGCCCUAUGGAGGGGGAUCACUACUGGAAACGGUAGCUAAUACCGCAUACCAUCAGAUGUGCCCAGAUGGGAUUGGCUAGUUGGAGGGGUAACGGCUAACAGAGGCGACGAUCCCUAGCUGGUCUGAGAGGAUGACCGGCCACACGGGAACCGAGCCACGGCCCAAACUCCUACGGGAGGCAGCGGUGGGAAAUAUUGGACAUUGAGGGAAGGCCGAACGCAGCCAUGCGGCGGGUUUGAGGAAGGCCUUCGGGUUGUAAGGUACUUUCUGCGAGGAGGCGUUACUCGAAGAGGAAGCGCCGGCUAACUCCGUGCCAGCAGCCGCGGUAAUUC